UUCCGGGUAAUGUCCGACGGGUUAACGCCCAACCCCGCCAGGUCCGAAAGGAAGCAACGGUCAGCGUCUAAUCCGGGUGGGCAUGAUCCCGGUUUUU
rnacentral:SRP_RNA from 1 species